CAGGAUGAACGCUAGCGGCAGGCUAACACAUGCAAGUCGAGGGGCGAGCGGGGAGUAGCAAUACUCGUGCCGGCGACCGGCGGAAGGGUGCGUAACGCGUGAGCAACCUGCCCUAACCGGGACAUAACCGAUGGAAACGUCGCCUAAUUUCCCAUAACAACAGGGUCGGCAUCGACCUUGUUUGAAAGCUACGGUGGUUACGGAUGGGCUCGCGAGACAUUAGCUGGUUGGUAGGGUAACGGCCUACCAAGGCUACGAUGUCUAGGGGUUCUGAGAGGAAGGUCCCCCACACUGGAACUGAGACACGGUCCAGACUCCUACGGGAGGCAGCAGUGAGGAAUAUUGGUCAAUGGGCGGAAGCCUGAACCAGCCAUGCCGCGUGCAGGAAAUAAGGCCCUAUGGGUCGUAAACUGCUUUUGUGCGGGAGCAAUAAGGGCUACGUGUAGCCUGAUGAGAGUACCGUACGAAUAAGCAUCGGCUAACUCCGUGCCAGCCGCCGC
rnacentral:rRNA from 1 species